rnacentral:tRNA from 1 species
GGAAUGUAGCUCAGUGGUAGAGUGCUUUCAUAGCAUACUUGAGGCCCUGGGUUCAAUCCCCAGCACCA